GACGAACCGUGCAAACGUUGUUCGGAAUCACUGGGCUUAAAGGGCGCGUAGGCGGGCCAGCCAGUCUGUGGUGAAAUCCUCCAGCUUAACUGGAGAAGUGCCGUGGAUACUGCUGGCCUCGAGGAGGGUAGGGGCAUCUGGAACGGUCGGUGGAGCGGUGAAAUGCGUUGAUAUCCAUAGGAACUCCGGUGGUGAAAGCGGUGUGCUGGAUCCUUUCUGACGCUGAGGCGCGAAAGCCAGGGGAGCAAACGGG
rnacentral:rRNA from 1 species